rnacentral:rRNA from 1 species
GAUAAACGCUAGCUACAGGCUUAACACAUGCAAGUCGAGGGACCGGCGCACGGGUGAGUAACACGUAUCCAACCUGCCAUUUACUCGGGGAUAGCCUUUCGAAAGAAAGAUUAAUACCCGAUGUCACGGAUGGGGAUGCGUUCCAUUAGGUUGUUGGUGAGCUAACGGCUAACCAAGCCUUCGAUGGAUAGGGGUUCUGAGAGGAAGGUCCCGCACAUUGGAACUGAGACACGGUCCAAAGUCCUACGGGAGGCAGCAGUGAGGAAUAUUGGUCAAUGGGAGUUAGCCUGAACCAGCCAAGUAGCGUGAAGGAUGAAGGCUUAUGGGUCGUAAACUUCUUUUAUAUAAGAAUAUGUAUUAUAUGAAUAAGGAUCGGCUAAAGCCGUGCCAGCAGCCGCGGUAAUAC